AACGGGGUCUAAUACCGGAUACUGACCCGCUUGGGCAUCCAAGCGGUUCGAAAGCUCCGGCGGUGCAGGAUGAGCCCGCGGCCUAUCAGCUUGUUGGUGAGGUAAUGGCUCACCAAGGCGACGACGGGUAGCCGGCCUGAGAGGGCGACCGGCCACACUGGGACUGAGACACGGCCCAGACUCCUACGGGAGGCAGCAGUGGGGAAUAUUGCACAAUGGGCGAAAGCCUGAUGCAGCGACGCCGCGUGAGGGAUGACGGCCUUCGGGUUGUAAACCUCUUUCAGCAGGGAAGAAGCGAAAGUGACGGUACCUGCAGAAGAAGCGCCGGCUAACUACGUGCCAGCAGCCGCGGUAAUACGUAGGGCGCGAGCGUUGUCCGGAAUUAUUGGGCGUAAAGAGCUCGUAGGCGGCUUGUCGCGUCGGUUGUGAAAGCCCGGGGCUUAACCCCGGGUCUGCAGUCGAUACGGGCAGGCUAGAGUUCGGUAGGGGAGAUCGGAAUUCCUGGUGUAGCGGUGAAAUGCGCAGAUAUCAGGAGGAACACCGGUGGCGAAGGCGGAUCUCUGGGCCGAUACUGACGCUGAGGAGCGAAAGCGUGGGGAGCGAACAGGAUUAGAUACCCUGGUAGUCCACGCCGUAAACGGUGGGCACU
rnacentral:rRNA from 1 species